CCAACCCUUGGAAACCGGAAACUGGCUCCGGCCGCCUCUCAGAGACCUGGUGCUGGUGGCCCUUGCAUCCCUUACACAGCAGAACUCUUUUAAGAGGUGGGGCUGACAGUCGGCGAGUGAGUAGCAGGGAGGAACUGGAGCCCCAAAGAAUCCAAUUUUCCCCCAAAGAAAUGAUGGAAAUGAUGCGCAAAACACGUUUACCCCUAGUAGCGAGCAGCAACUAGACCUGAGAAGGGGUUCUGGGUGAGGCUGGAUAUGGGCUCAGUGGGGAAGUUCUCUGUUCUCGCCCCAUCCCUCGCUGCCUUUUGAGGUCUGGCCUGCACCUAGGCGCAGAGGGAUGGAGGAAGGGAAGCCCAUGGGCCCUUGAGGAUGAAGAGCCUGGGAACCUGGGCACAGGGCGCCCCUGAGCCAGCCGCUCCUUUGCCUGCUGUGUGCAGAACCCCGCCCUCUUGCCUGGCUGAGCUCAGGGCUGAGUAAGUGAUCUGCACAUCACUGCAGAUAUGAAGUCAAAGUGAAGUCACCCUCACAGGCAGGAGGGGGAACUGCCAAGACAGAGGCUGGCUUGCACUCAGCCAACCAUGAUGUCCAGACCUGGCUUGCUGAGAGGACCCCCACCGAAGGCUGCAGAAAGGUUCCAGGCCUCCAUGUUGAUGGCAGAAGUGGCGAGGCAGCUCACCCUCCGCCCUGCUGAUUUCUGUGCACAUUUGGGAUGACGUUUUCAACAGCUCCAGUGCUGGAGCCAAGAGACAGUUGGCCUCAGGUUUCCACCUCAGGGCCCAAACUCACCUCCUCAGCCCGAGACUCGCCCAGAACCUCAUCAGGAGACCACCUAACGGAAGGAUGAGAAUAGUUGGAGGAUUUUCUGAAGUCUUUCUCUUGCCUCAUAGUUUAUUUCCUUGCAGAAUCCAGCCCUUCAGAUGCAGCUGAUGUCUUAGCCACCACACACAGCAACCUUUUCUGUCUUCACAGUUGUGUCUCUGAAGCAACUUCCAACUAAAUAAAAGCAGCUCCGUAAAGGACGCGUCAUUG
rnacentral:lncRNA from 1 species